rnacentral:rRNA from 1 species
UACAGAGGAUGCAAGCGUUAUCCGGAAUGAUUGGGCGUAAAGCGUCUGUAGGUGGCUUUUUAAGUCCGCCGUCAAAUCCCAGGGCUCAACUCUGGACAGGCGGUGGAAACUACCAAGCUGGAGUACGGUAGGGGCAGAGGGAAUUUCCGGUGGAGCGGUGAAAUGCGUAGAGAUCGGAAAGAACACCAAUGGUGAAGACAGGUGACUGGGCCGGAUCUGACACUGAGGCACGAAAGCGUGGGGAGCGAACGGG